GACGAACGCUGGCGGCGUGCUUAACACAUGCAAGUCGAACGGAAAGGCCCUGCUUUUGUGGGGUGCUCGAGUGGCGAACGGGUGAGUAACACGUGAGUAACCUGCCCUUGACUUUGGGAUAACUUCAGGAAACUGGGGCUAAUACCGGAUAGGAGCUCCUGCUGCAUGGUGGGGGUUGGAAAGUUUCGGCGGUUGGGGAUGGACUCGCGGCUUAUCAGCUUGUUGGUGGGGUAGUGGCUUACCAAGGCUUUGGCGGGUAGCCGGCCUGAGAGGGUGACCGGCAACAUUGGGACUGAGAUACGGCCAAGACUCCUACGGGAGGAAGCAGUGGGGAAUAUUGCACAAUGGGCGGAAGCCUGAUGCAGCACCGCCGCGUGCGGGAUGACGGCCUUCGGGUGGUAAACCGCUUUCGCCUGUGACGAAGCGUGAGUGACGGUAAUGGGUAAAGAAGCACCGGCUAACUACGUG
rnacentral:rRNA from 1 species